rnacentral:rRNA from 1 species
CCUACGGGUGGCAGCAGUGAGGAAUAUUGGUCAAUGGGCGCGAGCCUGAACCAGCCAAGUAGCGUGAAGGAUGACUGCCCUACGGGUUGUAAACUUCUUUUGUAAAGGAAUAAAUUGAGCCACGUGUGCCUUUCUGUAGGUACUUUAUGAAUAAGGAUCGGCUAACUCCGUGCCAGCAGCCGCGGUAAUACGGAGGAUCCGAACGUUUUCCGGAUUUAUUGGGUUUAAAGGGAGCGUAGAUGGGUUGUUAAGUUAGUUGUGAAAGUUUGCGGCUCAACCGGACAAUUGCCAUUGAUACUGGCGGCCUUGAGUACAGUUGAGGUAGGCGGAAUGCGUGGUGUAGCGGUGAAAUGCUUAGAGAUCACGAAGAACUCCGAUUGCGAAGGCAGCUUACUAACCUGCCACUGACGUUGAUGCACGAAAGUGUGGGUAUCAAACAGGAUUAGAUACCCGUGUAGUC